UCCGUUGACCUAAAUAUGGCGUCGCUCGUGGCUGCCGUUGUUUUGGUUCUUUUUCAACCUACUUCUCUUAAACCUUUUUCAGUAGGAUGAUGUAAGACCAGAUACCUUAAUUCCUUGUAAGCCCAUGGCUCCGCACAUCGUAGGUGCUCAAGAAUUCUCUGAAGUAAUACUCCUAACAAACUUGCUCACGUGUGAAAAUAAUAAUAAAACCGCCGGUGAAACAGUGGUGAUCCAAUCCCUGGGCAAGGAAGACAGACAUUCCCCGACCCUCAAGCCAGGCUGUCACCUUGAUUGAAAGAACCAGGCCUCUCAGCACCAAAACCAUGAGACAGAACACCAAACACCAGAGUGGACAAGGAACAUCUCCAAACCCUUGUGGGGGACCAGUGAUGCUAGGACCUGAAUCUCCUGCUUCCCAUCUUGGCUCUUCAGAAAUUCCCCGACCUAAUUAAUACAGCCCUGGGGAAGAGACGGGGCUUCCAUUGGUGAGAUUAUUGUCACUGCAGCUGGGUGGAGGCUUGAAAAAGAAAUAACUCAUAACAGAGAAAUAACUUUUUCUCAGUUAUAGAAAAAAUUCUUUUUGUUAACACAUUUCAGUUUGUAGACAGAAGUUCAUUCCUGCUACGCUGUUCUCUGUGAGCAUUCUAUAGUAACCCACAAUUUUUAAGAUCAUGAGGUUUCAUUCUUUAACAUUUUUAUUUGGUGUCUAUCGUUGACAAAAACAAACUGAGGUGUACCAACAAACACUGCCAUGCCUGGCAUCAUUACCUCACAGGGUUGUGAGUUCCUGUAGGACGGGGUCCGUACAUUCCUUUUGACUCUCCCACCUGGUCUGUAGCACACACGAUGCUUACAUUUAGUAAGUACUCAAUAAAUGUUGAAUGAAUGAAUCACGAAUGAAAUACGUACCAAAAA